rnacentral:rRNA from 1 species
CCCUUAGAUGUUCUGGGCGGCCCGCGCACUACAUUGGCACUAGCAAAGAGAUCCUAGAUUGAAUUCUUUGGGGUAUUCUUCUAAAUGGUGUCGUGACUGGGAUAAAUCCUUGUAAUUAUUGGUUUUGAACGAGGAAUUCCUUGUAAUCGCGGUUUAUCAGCUCGCGUUGAAUGCGUCCCUGCCCUUUGUGCACACCGCCCGUCGCUCCUACCGAUGGAUCGUCCGGUGAAGCUCACGGAGUGACUGUUCACGCAACGGUUUACGAAGUGAAAUGGACCUCACGAUUUAGAGGAAGGAGAAGUCGUAACA